GACAGAGGGUGCAAACGUUGUUCGGAAUUACUGGGCGUAAAGCGCGUGUAGGCGGCUACGUGUGUCGGGCGUGAAAUCCCAUGGCUCAACCAUGGAAGUGCACCCGAAACUGCGUAGCUAGAGUCCUGGAGAGGAAGGUGGAAUGCUUGGUGUAGAGGUGAAAUUCGUAGAUAUCAAGCGGAACACCGGUGGCGAAGGCGGCCUUCUGGACAGCUGACGUGACGCUGAGACGCGAAAGCGUGGGGAGCAAACAGG
rnacentral:rRNA from 1 species